ensembl:lncRNA
GGAUCGUGGUGUUAGAUGUAGGGUGGUGGUGUUAGAUGUAGAGUGGUGGUGUUAGAUAUAGCGGUGGUGGUGUUAGAUAUAGGGGUGGUGAUGUUAGAUAUAGGGUGGUGGUGUUAGAUAUAGGGGUGGUGGUGUUAGAUGUAGGGUGGCGGUGUUAGAUAUAGGGGUGGUGGUGUUAGAUGUAGGAUCGUGGUGUUAGAUAUAGGGUGGUGGUGUUAGAUGUAGAGUGGUGGUGUUAGAUAUAGCGGUGGUGGUGUUAGAAAUAGGGGUGGUGAUGUUAGAUAUAGGGUGGUGGUGUUAGAUAUAGGGUGGUGUUGUUAGAUGUAGGGUGGUGGUGUUAGAUGUAGGGGUGGUGGUGUUAGAUGUAGGGGUUGUGGUGUUAGAUGUAGAGUGGUGGUGUUAGAAGUAGGGUGGUGGUGUUAGAUGUAGGAUGGUGGUAUUACUUAUAGGGUGGUGGUGUUAGAUAUAGAGUGGCGGUGUUAGAUGUAGGGUGGUGGUGUUAGAUGUAGGGUGGCGGUGUUAGAUGUAGGGUGGCGGUGUUAGAUGUAGGGUGGUGGUGGUGUUAGAUAUAGUGUGGUGGUGUUAGAUGAGGGUCAUGGUGUUAGAUAGAGGGUGGUAGUGUUAGAUGUAGAGUGGUGGUGUUAGAUAAGGGUCAUGGUGUUAGAUAUAGGUUGGUGGUGCUAGAUAAGGGUCAUGGUGUUAGAUAUAGGUUGGUGGUGUUAGAUGUAGGGUGGUGGUGUUAGAUGUAGGGGUGGGGGUGAUGUUAAAUAUAGGGUGGUGGUAUUAGAUGUAGCGUGGUGGUGUUAGAUGUAGGGUGGAUGUGUUAGAUGUAGGGUGGGGGGUGUUAGAU